rnacentral:lncRNA from 1 species
AUAUUUUCAUUUUACAGCUGGUUGAAUUUGAUGAUGCAGAACUUGCCGAUAGUGAGACCAACUGCACCUUGACCCACCUGAGGCCAGUCUUGAGAGUCUGGGUUUUGGCGUGAAGUACUUAACCUGGGCCAGGACUGAAAAAGAGGGGAGACUUGAGAGCCUGCAACGUGGCUCCAGGGAUCAUGUGUCAUCUACACAAAAGCUGGGGCCUCUCAAGUUCAUUGUGGCAUUCAGAGAAACAGACCAGCAGAUGAAACAAAUGUAAGAGCUGUUUUCAUGUUUACUUAUGUUUCUCAGAUAUCAUUUAUGGAAAUCCAUUGUACAACUCAUAGCAGUACUUGCUAAAAUUUCUUUUUAUGCCUCCCCUGUUCUGUGUACACCUGCAGCUGAUUCUUUCAGCAGACUCUCCCUGUUGACAGUUGUCUGUUUCCCUCUCCUCUCCCCUCUUUUUUCUAUAUCAUGUAGAUCAAUUUAGUCUCUUCAGCUUCUACUUUCAUUUUCUCUUUGUUAUCCCAACUCCCUGCAGCAAAGGAGAAUCAGGGACCUGAUUCAACAAGUAAAAACCCUUUCUUUUCCUUUCUCCUCAUCCAGUGUUAAUUCUCAAUUCUAAUGGCAUUGCAGCAAGGGUGGAAGCAGAGUUGGCAAAACCAGAAAUCUCCCCUGGGGGCCAGGGAAAAGGAGAAGGCAGUGGGAGGGGUCAGCAGAGCUGCAGUGUGUAUAUUAAUAGAGCUUCUGACUGCAGAUGGAAUAUGCAAUUUCUAGAGGAUUUAACAAAAUCCAAACUUUUUCUGUGCAUUCGAAUCUUGACAUCAGUUUUCCCGUUUAGCUCCGAUGAGGGACAGUGUGGUAGGUGAUGCUGACGACUUCCGCCUUCAUCACCAUUUCUGGGAAGAUAAGACAUCUGAAGAAAAAUCGUUUCAUUUUAGUAACAUUCAAUAAUAUUUCCUACCCACUUCAGACCUGAAUUUGACACUGUUAGAUGGAUGCUUGUCAAAGACAGUUUAAUAUGGAGUUUUCAAAAGGAAAGUCUAGUCCACAGCUUAUACAUUUUACCAGCAACAUCAUAGGUGGGUCAUGCCAUUACCGAAUGAUAUCUCAGUGGGUCUCUUGUGUCCAGACUUCUCAGUGCCUUGAGAGGAGAAGCAGUGUUCUGAUACACCNGCUCUUGCCUUCCUCAUUGGUGUGAGCAAAAUGAACAGUGCAGACAGCUUCACAUGCCCGAGCUGCUAGUGGCCCCCUGUGUAGGCCAAAUUGAUACCCCUGUUGCCAAAGAAAGUCUGGAAAAGGAGUACAGACUACUGGGAAAAUCAUUAUCUGCUUCAUCAAGGAGAAGGUGGAAAAGUCAGUCUGUAAGUUCCUGAGAUGAGAGACUCAGAGCUGCAGUAUCAACUUUAAUCAAAGAGUUGGGGGGCCCUGUGGCUCCUGGGAACGUUCUGGGCUUUCAUUCAUAGGAGGUAAGUCCAUUGGCUUGAGGUCAACGUGGAGUCAGGUUUAAGUGCAUUGUAAAUCAAACACACUGAAAACAAUGGGUUUCAGUCACAUCCUGGUGAACCCUGUGAGAACUCCAAGGUCAUGCAGGACGGGGCUCUCUCUCCAGGGCUCGCAGAUGUGAAAUCAGGCAGGAAAAGUUCUGCCUCCCAGAUGAUGAAGGCACUUUGUUUUUAACAUCCAUACUGAACCCACACACAAAGCAAGUGGGAAUAAACACCACGGGAAACCUUUCCA